CAACUGGAGAGUUUGAUCCUGGCUCAGAGCGAACGUUAGCGGCGGGCCUAACACAUGCAAGUCGGACGAGAAAAUCCUUCGGGGUGAGUAAAGUGGCGCACGGGUGAGGAACGCGUAGGUAAUCUACCCUCUGGCGGGGGACAACACUCCGAAAGGAAUGCUAAUACCGCGUAAGACCACACUCCCUACGGAGAGAGUGGUAAAAGGUGGCCUCUUCUUGAAAGCUACCACCAGAGGAUGAGCCUGCGUCCCAUCAGCUUGUUGGUAAGGUAACGGCUUACCAAGGCUAAGACGGGUAGCUGGUCUGAGAGGAUGAUCAGCCACACUGGCACUGGAACACGGGCCAGACUCCUACGGGAGGCAGCAGUGAGGAAUAUUGGGCAAUGGGCGCAAGCCUGACCCAGCCACGCCGCGUGAGUGAUGAAGGCCUUCGGGUCGUAAAGCUCUGUGGGGAGGGACGAAAAACCUCCAUUCGAAUAGGAUGGAGACUUGACGGUACCUCCUUAGCAAGCACCGGCUAACUCUGUGCCAGCAGCCGCGGUAAUACAGAGGGUGCGAACGUUGCUCGGAUUUACUGGGCGUAAAGCGCGUGUAGGCGGACUCGCAAGUCGGUUGUGAAAUCCCUGGGCUCAACCUAGGAACUGCAUCCGAAACUGCUUGUCUUGAGUAAUGGAGAGGGUGGCG
rnacentral:rRNA from 1 species